CCUUCGAUAGCUCAGUUGGAAGAGCGCGAGACUGUAAUGGAUGAAUUAAUCUUGAGGUCGCUGGUUCGAUCCCGGCUCGAAGGA
rnacentral:tRNA from 1 species